AGCUUCGCGCAGUGGCAGUAUCGUAGCCAAUGAGGUUUAUCCGAGGCGUGAUUAUUGCUAAUUGAAAACUCUCCUGCCCUUUUUUUCCCCUGGAGUAGAGCUCAGAUUGAGUUCCGGUCUCUCCCUCCUGUUGCAAUAGCUUUGAAUUAGGGGUUGUUUAUGCAAAGUUACCAGACU
rnacentral:snRNA from 1 species